rnacentral:rRNA from 1 species
GAUGAACGCUGGCGGCGUGCCUAAUACAUGCAAGUCGAGCGAACAGACGAGGAGCUUGCUCCUCUGACGUUAGCGGCGGACGUGUGAGUAACACGUGGAUAACCUACCUAUAAUACUGGUAUAACUUCGGGAAACCGGAGCUAAUACCGGAUAAUAUAUUGAACCGCAUUGUUCAUUAGUGAAAUACGGUUUUUCUGUCUCUUAUAGAUGGAUCCGCGCCGCAUUAGCUAGUUGGUAAGGUAACGGCUUACCAAGGCAACGAUGCGUAUCCGACCUGAGAGGGUGAUCGGCCACACUGGAACUGAGACACGGACCAGACGCCUACGGGAGGAAGCAGUAGGGAAUCUUACGCAAUGGGCGAAAGCUUGACGGAGCAACGCCGAGUGAGAGAUGAAGGUCUUCGGAUCGUAAAACUCUGUUAUUAGGGAAGAACAAAUGUGUAAGUAACUAUGCACGGAUUGACGGUAACUAAUCAGAAAGCAACGGCUAACUACGUG